ACGACUCUCGGCAACGGAUAUCUCGGCUCUUGCAUCGAUGAAGAACGUAGCGAAAUGCGAUACUUGGUGUGAAUUGCAGAAUCCCGUGAACCAUCGAGUCUUUGAACGCAAGUGGCGCCCGAGGCCUUCUGGUCGAGGGCACGUCUGCCUGGGCGUCACGCACA
rnacentral:rRNA from 1 species